rnacentral:rRNA from 1 species
CCAGCAGCCGCGGUAAUUCCAGCUCCAAUAGUGUAUCUUAACGUUGUUGCAGUUAAAAAGCUCGUAGUUGAAUUUCUGGGGGGGCUGCUUCGGUUAACGCCUGGUGGCCCUUUCAUCCGCCUUGGAACUAGGAUGGGUAUUUAGUUACUGGCCUAGGGAAGUGGCAUUUUACUUUGAAGAAAUUAGAGUGUUCAUAGCAGGCUCUUGCUUGAAUAUAUCAGCAUGGAAUAAUGGAAUAGGACAUCGUCCGUCUCUUGGUGACUGGACAUGUAAUGAUUAACAGGGACAGUUGGGGGCAUUCGUAUUCGCUAGUCAGAGGUGAUAUUCUUGGAUUUGGCGAAGAC